rnacentral:siRNA from 1 species
UUGCUGAGAAAUGGUGUCCAG